CUGGAGAGGGAGCCUGAGAAACGGCUACCACGUCCAAGGAAGGCAGCAGGCGCGCAAAUUACCCACUCCUGACUCAGGGAGGUAGUGACGAAAAAUAACGAUAGACGACUCAGUUGAGGCUGUCUAAUCGGAAUGAGUAUAGUCUAAAGCCUUACACGAGGGGCUAGUAGAGGGCAAGUCUGGUGCCAGCAGCCGCGGUAACUCCAGCUCUACAGGCGUAAACGUGAGUUGUUGUAGUUAAAACGCUCGUCGUUGGAUUUGAACUUAGGCAGCGGACGGUACGGGUCAGAGCACCUGCUAUCGCAGCUGUCGGUUACAGGCGAGAUCGUAGCGGAUCCCCUUGGUUGGGCGUUCGCGAGCUCGUGUACGUUACCUUGAACAAAUGAGGGUGUUCAUAGCAGGCUAGCAUGCCUGAAUAGUCUAGCAUGGAAUAACAGAAUUUGACUCCGGUCUUAUUCUGCUGGUCUCUAGGACUUGGAGGGAUGAUCAAUAGGGACAACCGGAGGCGAUAGUACUCCUGCGUUAGAGGUGAAAUUCUUGGAUCGCAGGAUGACUAACUACAGCGAAAGCAUUCGCCUAGCAUGUCCUCAUUAAUCAAGAACGAAAGUUAGAGGAUCGAAGACGAUCAGAUACCGUCCUAGUUCUGACCAUAAACGAUGCCGACAGGCGAUCGGUCGUUAGUACUUUGCAAACCCUUAUAUAUGACACGGCCGGCAGCUCUCGGGAAACCAAAGUCUUUGGGUUCCGGGGGUAGUAUGGUUGCAAAGCUGAAACUUAAAGGAAUUGACGGAAGGGCACCACCAGGAGUGGAGCUUGCGGCUUAAUUUGACUCAACACGGGGAACCUCACCUGGCCAGGACACUGUAAGGAAUGACAGAUUGAGAGCUCUUUUCUUGAUUCGGUGGGUGGUUGGUGGCAUUGGCCGGUUCCUUAGUUCGUGGAGCGAUCUGUCAGGUUAAUUCCGAUAACGAACGAGACUCUACCUGCUAACUACCACAGGCGGUUAAUGAGACGUCGUAUUCAAGAUACUUCUUAGAGGGACCAGCGGUGUGGCAACCGCGCGAGAUUGAGCAAUCCCAGGUCUGUGAUGCCCUUAGAUGUCCAGGGCCGCACGCGCGCUACACUGAAAGAGACAUCGAGGCAGGCGAGUACAGCUCUGGCAAGGGCUUGUUAAACUCCAAACCUCUAUCGUGCUUGGGAUUAGGGUUUGAAAC
rnacentral:rRNA from 1 species